CAAUAGCGUAUAUUAUUGAUGUUGCAGUUGAAACGUUCGUAGUCGAACUUUAUCUGCAAAGGCUUUCUGUGUCUCUCGAGACUAGAUGUGCCUCGAGCAGAGAGUGCACUAUGCAUCUUCGGGUGUUUAUAGUGCUUUACUUUGAGUGAAUCGGCGUGUUCCACGCAGGCUUUACGCCUUGAACGAUUUACCAUAGUAUAACCAUAAUAUGGGAAUAUCUCCUUGUCUCUUCGGAGGUAUUUUCGAUACAUAAAAGAACGGUUGAGGGCAUUCGUAUUCAACUGCCAGAGGUGAAAUUCUUUGAUUAGUUGAGGACGAACUAUUGCGAAAGCAUCUGCCAAGGACGUUUCUUUUGA
rnacentral:rRNA from 1 species